CUUGAACGCUGGCGGCAGGCCUCACACAUGCAAGUCGAACGAGUGGCGGACGGGUUAGUAAUGUCUGGGACACUGCCCGAUGGAGGGGGAUAACUACUGGAAACGGUCGCUAAUACCGCAUACCAUCUGAUGUUCCCAGAUGGGAUUAGCUAGUAGGUGGGGUAACGGCUCACCUAGGCGACGAUCCCUAGCUGGUCUGAGAGGAUGACCAGCCACACUGGAACUGAGAAACGGUCCAGACUCCUACGGGAGGCAGCAGUGGGGAAUAUGGCAAAAUGGGCGCAAGCCUGAUGCAGCCAUGCCGCGUGUAUGAAGAAGGCCUUCGGGUUGUAAAGUACUUUCAGCGAGGAGGCGUUACUAGCAGAAGAAGCACCGGAUAACGCCGUGCCAGCAGCCGCGGUAAUAC
rnacentral:rRNA from 1 species